UACGUAGGAUGCGAGCGUUGUCCGGAUUCACUGGGUGUAAAGGGAGCGCAGGUGGGUUUUCAAGUCGAUGGUGAAAUCUUACAGCUUAACUGUAAAAUUGCCGUCGAUACUGUUUACCUUGAGUAUGGAAAAGGGCGAUAGAAUUCAUGGUGUAGCGGUGAAAUGCGUAGAUAUCAUGAAGAAUACCGGUUGCGAAGGCGGUCGCCUGGUCCAUUACUGACACUCAUGCUCGAAAGUGUGGGGAGCAAACAGGAUUAGAUACCCUGGUAGUCCACACCCUAAACGAUGAAUACUCGGUGUUGGGUAGCAAUACUCAGCGCCUAAGCUAACGCAUUAAGUAUUCCACCUGGGGAGUACGAUCGCAAGGUUGAAACUCAAAGGAAUUGACGGGGGCCCGCACAAGCAGUGGAGCAUGUGGUUUAAUUCGAUGCAACGCGAAGAACCUUACCAGGGUUUGAAAGGCAAGAUUCUAGACGAUGAAAGUCGUUUACCCGCAAGGGGUCUUGUACAGGUGCUGCAUGGCUGUCGUCAGCUCGUGCCGUGAGGUGUUAGGUUAAGUCCUGCAACGAGCGCAACCCCUACACUUAGUUGCCAUCAGGUAAUGCUGGGCACUCUAAGUGGACUGCCUACGCAAGUAGCGAGGAAGGUGGGGAUGACGUCAAGUCCUCAUGGCCCUUACACCCUGGGCCACACACGUGCUACAAUGGCCACUACAAUAGGUUGCCAAAGCGCAAGCUGGAGCUAAUCCUAAAAAAGUGGUCUCAGUUCAGAUUGUGGGCUGCAACUCGCCCACAUGAAGCUGGAAUUGCUAGUAAUCGCGGAUCAGCACGCCGCGGUGAAUACGUUCCCGGGCCU
rnacentral:rRNA from 1 species